rnacentral:tRNA from 1 species
GGAAGGGUCGCAUAGUGGUUUAGUGCACCGCCUUGGAAAGGCGGCAGGGUGAAAGCCCUCGGGGGUUCGAAUCCCCCCUCUUCCGCCA